rnacentral:rRNA from 1 species
UACGUAGGGUGCAAGCGUUGUCCGGAAUUAUUGGGCGUAAAGAGCUCGUAGGUGGCCUGUCGCGUCGGCUGUGAAAACUCGGGGCUCAACUCCGAGCUUGCAGUCGAUACGGGCAGGCUAGAGUUCGGCAGGGGAGACUGGAAUUCCUGGUGUAGCGGUGAAAUGCGCAGAUAUCAGGAGGAACACCAGUGGCGAAGGCGGCCUUCUGGACCAAUACUGACGCUCAUGCACGAAAGCGUGGGGAGCAAACAGG